GCUGUCUCAUGGUGCAGGUGGAAGCCGCAUGCGUGGGAGCUUCCAUGGGGUCCUGUCUGGCUUAGUCACGAUGCUGAGGUCAUAGACUAGGUUAUUUCCUGCCACUCUCCAAGGAGGGCCUCUUCAUGGAUGUUAUCUAAAGUAUUACCAAAGAUCCGGAAGGGAAGAGUAGAUUGAGUGAAUCAUAUGUGUUUAACUGUAUUGAAAACAUACUUUCCACCUGUGACCUGCACUACCUGUUAAUGAUGGGUUCUGGCCUUUCAUUGUGCAUGUAGACUAUGUGAAAGGGUUUGGAGGAAAAUUUGGUGUGCAGACAGACAGACAAGACAAAUGUGCCCUUGGCUGGGAUCACCAGGAGAAAUUGCAGCUGCAUGAAUCCCAAAAAGACUACUCCAAAGGAUUCGGCGGGAAGUAUGGGGUGCAGAAGGAUCGGAUGGAUAAGAAUGCGUCAACCUUUGAGGAUGUCACCCAGGUGUCCUCUGCCUACCAGAAGACAGUACCUGUCGAAGCUGUGACCAGCAAAACAAGUAACAUCAGAGCUAACUUUGAAAACCUCGCUAAGGAGAAAGAGCAGGAGGACAGGCGGA
rnacentral:sRNA from 1 species